GGGCGAAUGGUUUAGUGGUAUAAUACUCCCUUAGCAUCCGAUCCUCUAGAUCUGGCUAAAUCUGGGAGUGGUCCGGGGUUCGAUUCCCCGUUCGUCCA
rnacentral:tRNA from 1 species